UACUCUGUGCAUAUUUUUGCCUUUAACUAAAAUCAAGUCUUCUUUGGUUUGGGAGUACUCUUCUGGAUUAAAAGGGUUUUGAAAUCACUUUUUAUCUAUGUUCUUAGAAAUCUGGUAAAAAGAUAUCUGAGCCUUAGUCAAAGCAUGUAUAAUGUAAGAAUUUCAGUUACACUUGAAAGAAAAACUCAACCUGAGACUGACCACAGUAUUGGAGGGUCUUAGGUGUUUUCAAAUAAAUGUCUUAGUUUUGGCCUAUUUGUCUAAACACCACAAGGGAGAGUGCUUUUCCCAUCAAUGUUAGGGCCAAUCUAUACAAUUCUGGUUAGCUUUUGUCUACCUCUCUCAUCCAUUAUAUAUUCCUCCAGGGAAUUUCCUGAUUGGUAAUGGUACAACAAAUUUACUCUUACUCCUGGAAUUGUUCAGCAUUAGAGUUGAAAUGUCCUGAGGAAUUAUUGUUCACCUCCCUUUUGCAAUGAGGAUUCUGAGGUCCAGAGACAUGGAACAAAUUGCCCAAUACCAUGCCGUGAAUUCUUUGUCACACUGGACUUAAGAUUCACUGCCCAUGAGAUUCCACAGGCUAUGGAAUCAUCAUUCCACACAGAAUGGUGGAUUUUUGAAAGACAGGAAUCAACCUUUCCAUGUGGUGGUGGCAUGAAAGACAAAUCUGAUUCUAAGCUGACACACUAUUGAAAUGUAACAAAUCUUUAGUACAUCAGUGUUACAUCUUGGCAAUUACCACACUUUCUGGAAACAAUUGCUGCAAUCCUCCAGUAGGAUGAAUUCAGUUCUUUUACUUGCAAGGCAGGAAAUAAGAAUUUCUAUACCAUUAGUGCCCCUUUGUCUGUACAAGGGCUAGCUUAAAUCAAUGAUCAUUCUAUGUUGUUAACAGUUGAAUCAGAUCUUUUUGCCUGUGAAGUCUUUAGAUACAGUGUUUUAUACAGUCUGUAAAAGCAUAUCUAUCAGUGUGUUGAUGUUUCUAGACUAAUACACAAGAGGGAAGCUAGAACCACAUGGAACAUAGUAGAGAAAAUUCUCAGGAAUUAUCCUCUUCCUUUGUCUUGGUGUCAGGAGUGUGGAAUGUGUUGAAGGACUGAUUUUUUUCAUGGUUUGAAAUAGUUUUUUCACAGGACAGGGCGCAAGAUUUUCUUUAAAAGUAUAAAAAGGGAGUUUUAUAAUAAGAAAAACAAAGAUCUUUUUCUCCCUGGAUACGCAGCAUGCUGAAAUUUUUAAAUAAAAAGUUGUUCAAGUUUUAACUUUGUAAUAAAACUCUCUAAAAAUUAUGUUUGUGUGCACACUAAACGCUCAGGGCUGGUAGCCGAGUAGGGAGGAAAAGCAUGUUUGGCAUAGAAAAUUCAUUGAAGGGCUAAUAGAACAGGCAGAGCCAUCCUUACUCCUUUGAUUUCAUAGCCACUGCCAUCUUGCUGAAUCCCCACUACUCAGCAGUUGUUAGGGAUGAACCGCUUGUGAAUUGGGCAGGCUAGCUAGAAAAGUGAAAAAUGCGGUCCAGACAGAUGUGUAUCUUGCUUCAGGUCUUUUUAUUAUUUCUCCAGCUUGCAGUUUUACCUCGGGCUUUCAUUGAGUAUUUAACUCCAGCAGAUGAACCAUAUUUUGGCAGUGCUGCAUAUUGAAUGAAAGGAGAGUAAGGAUUAAUUUUGGAGGUGCUUCCAAACCUUAGAAUUGGUGGCAGAAUGCCAGCCCUUCAGAAUGUCUUUCCCAAUGGCUCACAUCAACAAACUCUUGGCUGUUACAGCCAAAUGAAUGUUGCAGUUUUCAGUGGUACCUGUUACAUUAAAUCACAUAUUGAUGGGGAAAGAAAGCAGAAACAUCACGCCAUUGCACAGGGGAAAAAAACUGAGAUCCAGAAGCUUUUCUGCCAAUAGUAGGCUUUUUAAGUAAGUGAGAAACAGUCUUGGGGUUUUAUGGUCUCCUAUUUAUUUGGAUGGAAACCAACAGGAUUUUUCAUGUGUUAAUGUGAGUUUCUAUGUUAGCUUGUAUGUCGUUUCUUCUCUGGCACGAAACAACCCUUGAGAUUGUGCUUUCUAUACUCUCUAGGUGUAGAAAGCAAAUAGAUGUGUUCAGCAAAGCCCAGAACCCUAGUUUAUAAUUCAUUGAGCUGGCAGACAGAUUAUUAACAAUAGUGUUACCUUCAAAUAAAUAGGUAAACUAUAAGCACACUUCUAGUUGUGUGAAGCAUGACACAGACCAGACGUAACUUAUGCUGGUCACUGUGGAUUGGAUUUGUGGUAUUUAGAGACAGUCACAUGCCAUUCUUUCAACCCAUCUCCUAAGUAGUCAGUGUUCUAGCCUGGCCCCUUUUUCAUGGCGCCACUCACAUAUUGUUCUUACUGUUUAUUCCGAAGCAUGGCUAGUGCUAUUCCUAUGACUUGGAAAAUAGUAGUCCUUCUUUUCACUUCUCUUCAAUCUUCUUGGAACAAUUGUCUUUACCUUGCCAUUUCCUCACCUCCCAUUCCUUCCCCAGUCAACUUUGAUAGAGCUUCUAUUCCCAUCACUUAAUCACAACUGCUCCCAGCCCAGGACCACUCCAAAGCCUGAGUGGUACUUUCUAAAGAACAAUGUUCUCCUCCCAGGCUGCUGUUGGUCUUUUUCCUCUGUAUCACUUUCUUUACUUGGACCAUAAGUGUUUCACUUCCUCAGGACUCCUCAUGGACCCCCCUCCCUUUUUUUUUUUUUCAUUUUACCCACAAGCAGUCAUGCCCCAUUUUCUCAUCCCCCUAGUCCCUGGCAACCAUUAAUAUGCUUUCUGUCUCUACACAUUUGCUUUUUCUGAAUGUCUCAUAGAAAUAGAAUCGUAUAAUACUAGUCUUUUGUAUUGGCUUCUUUCAUUUAGCAUGUGUUUUCAAAGCUUAUCCUUGUGGUAGCAGGUAACAGUGCUUCACUCCAUUUUAUGACUGAAUAAUAUUCUGUUAAACGGCUAGUCACAUUUGUUUAUCCAUUUAUCAGUGGAUGAUCACUUGACUUGUAUCUAGCUUUUGCCUGUCAUUACUGGUUCUCCUAGGAAUUACCAACCACAUCCUAUAUUCUUCUCUCCCAUGCUCCCCACAUCUAUCAUACUGAACUGUAUUCAGUUUCUCCAUGUUGCUUUUCCUCUUGCCUAAAGCACUGCUCCUUUCUUUUCUCUUUACCUAGUGGAUACCUAAAUAACUCUAGAUCUCAGUUCAGAAAUCACUUCUCCACUGCAGUCUUCCCUGACCUCUAGCAGGGGCAUAUCCAGGUGUAUGGAGCUGGAGUUUUUAUUUUGAAAGGAUCUUUUUCAGAAAAAGAAUACAAAUUUUAAUAUACAGUAGAAAAUAUGUUUUUAUUUUAUUUUAUUUUUUAGGGCUGCACCCAUGGCAUAUAGAAAUUUCUAGGCUAGGGGUCAAAUGGGAGCCAUAGCCUCUGGCCUAUACCAUAGCCGCAGCAAUGCCAGAUCUGAGAUGUGUCUGGGACCUACAUCAGAGCUCACAGCAACAUAGUAUUCUUAACUCACUGAGUGAGGCCAGGGAUUGAACCUGUGUUGGGUUUGUGACUACUGAGCCACAAUGAAAACUCCCAAAAUAUGUUUUUAGAAUUAGAAUGUAAAUCAAAACAAAUGAUUUAUAUAAAAAGAUGAUACACUUAAUAAGCAUUAUAUAAUUCAGAAAAAUAAUAUGUUUAUAUUAAUUUACUGCCUGACGCACUUAAUUUUCCCAAACAUUUUUUUGGCUCAAUAGUUUUUAGUCAUUCUUUGGUCAUGUUAAAUAUUUGUAAUAUCAUUGACUAUAAAGAGAAUAGAAAUAGAAUUUAACCUUUCUGCUAAUCAUUGACUAUAGGGAGAAUAGAAAUAGAGAAUAGAAUAGCCUCUCCUCUAGUAUAUUUGAUUGAGAAAUUUUGCUUCAUAAUUUGCUCAUAAUGUCAUGUAAAUUUUUAAGAGUGUCGUCAAAUUUGGGAAAAGCUCUGCUAAGUUUCUUUCAUAAGCUCUAAGACUUCUUGUGCAAUGACUAAUUUUACAUUUUUCAAAUUGAUAAUACACACUUCUAUAUUGUCCUUAUUUUGGUAGCAUGUUAGUUUUAUAUUAAAUACCUUUAGGUCUGAAUUUUAGGUCAAGUCACACAAACUUUAAAUAUUUUUCCAAUGUGUUUAUAUGAGUCCCUUGUCUUCUCUAAUUAUAUUAUUGAACAAUCUAAGAAACUACUUAUUUAUUUGGAAUUUUUCUCUUCAUCUUAAUGAAUUGUUUUUGGUAUGACUUUAGCAUUCUUUUUUGCUAUCUGCUUCUUGAUGUCAGAAUGAUUUAUAUCAACUUUUAUUGCUCAUCUCUGUCAUUUAAGUAUCAUAUCCCAUUAUUUUUUUGUUUCCAUACUCUUUCAGCUCUUUAAUAAAUAAAAUUAAAGAUGAAAAAUAGGAGUUUUUCCCCCACAAAUGUCCCAAUCAGAAGUCUGUGAUACAUGGAUUCCUUUCCAAUGCGUUUUUGAUUCUGUUAUCCUAUGACACUCUGGUGUAGCACUUAGGUGCAGAGUUCACAGAUGGGAAAUUGAGUCUCAGGAACAUUUCAGAUCACAUAUAUUGUCAGUGGUGUCACUGAGAACAGAGGUUACAUUACUCAGUUUAUUCUCUAUUUUCAUCUUUCUAAGAAUAGACUGUGCAUUAAGCAUUGUCAUUAUGUAGAAAUUUUUAAAUUGCUGUGCCUAUUUUUCAUUCUUUGGGGCUUAUCUAAGAUCUGAUAUGUUAAUCAAAAAGUACAAGCUCUCAGAGGUCUCACAAGUCAUGAUCCAAGAUGAUAAAUGGGUCUAGAACAAGUUCUAGUUUUGUGGUCUUCUUGUUUCAUAAAACUAUAGAAUAGGAGGACAUUGAUGGAAAGGUUUUCUGCAAUAAAAACUUCAAUAUAUUACCCACGACUAGGAACAACUUUUAAAGAUGAAAAUAGACUUUUGAAUAUGAGUUAAGUUUCAAAUAAAAAAAUAAAAAUGGAAAGCUGGAAUAUAUUUCUUAUGGUUUUAGUUUUUAAUCUGCUUUUAAAAAUUAUCUUUGGAGUUCCCGUCAUGGCUCAGUGGUUAACAAAUCCAACUAGGAACCAUGAGGUUGCGGGUUCGACCCCUGGCCUCACUCAGUGGGUUAAGGAUCCAGCAUUGCCGUGACCUGUGGUGUAGGUCACAGACACAGCUCAGAUCUGGCUUUGCUGUGGCCCUUGCAUAGACUGGCGGCUACAGCUCCGAUUAGACCCGAGUCUGGGAACCUCCAUAUGCCAUGGGUAUGGCUCUAGAAAAAGGCAAAAAGACAAAAAAAUAAAAA
rnacentral:lncRNA from 1 species